AGUGAACGCUGGCGGCAGGCCUAAUACAUGCAAGUCGAACGGCAGCACAGCAGAGCUUGCUCUGUGGGUGGCGAGUGGGCGGACGGGUGAGGAAUACGUGGGAAUCUGCCCAGUCGUGGGGGAUAACGUAGGGAAACUUACGCUAAUACCGCAUGCGCCUUCGGGGAAAGCCGGGGACCUUCAGGCCUGGCGCGAUUGGAUGAGCCACGUCGGAUUAGCUAGUUGGCGGGGUAAAGGCCCACCAAGGCGACGAUCCGUAGCUGGUCUGAGAGGAUGAUCAGCCACACUGGAACUGAGACACGGUCCAGACUCCUACGGGAGGCAGCAGUAGGGAAUAUUGGACAAUGGGCGCAAGCCUGAUCCAGCCAUGCCGCGUGAGUGAAGAAGG
rnacentral:rRNA from 1 species